CAGUCAUAUAGCUUUGAAACACCAGUUCCCGUACGAUCACCAAUGUUAAGCAAGUUAGUACCUGGAUGGGUGUCCGCUUGCAAAUACCAGGUGCUGUAA